GAGAAAUUUAAGAAUAAUUGAACCUAACGAGGUGACACACUCAGGAGACACAGGUGUGGAAACAGACGGCAGAAUGCCUCCAAAGGUGACUUCAGAGCUGCUUCGGCAGCUGAGACAAGCCAUGAGGAACUCUGAGUAUGUGACGGAACCGAUCCAGGCCUACAUCAUCCCAUCGGGAGAUGCUCAUCAGGUCUGAAGGACACACCAACUCAGGAAGACUGGCUGGUGAGUGUGCUUCCUGAAGGAUCCAGGGUUGGUGUGGACCCCUUGAUCAUUCCUACAGAUUAUUGGAAGAAAAUGGCCAAAGUUCUGAGAAGUGCCGGCCACCACCUCAUUCCUGUCAAGGAGAACCUCGUUGACAAAAUCUGGACAGACCGUCCUGAGCGCCCUUGCAAGCCUCUCCUCACACUGGGCCUGGAUUACACAGGCAUCUCCUGGAAGGACAAGGUUGCAGACCUUCGGUUGAAAAUGGCUGAGAGGAACGUCAUGUGGUUUGUGGUCACUGCCUUGGAUGAGAUUGCGUGGCUAUUUAAUCUCCGAGGAUCAGAUGUGGAGCACAAUCCAGUAUUUUUCUCCUACGCAAUCAUAGGACUAGAGACGAUCAUGCUCUUCAUUGAUGGUGACCGCAUAGACGCCCCCAGUGUGAAGGAGCACCUGCUUCUUGACUUGGGUCUGGAGGCCGAAUACAGGAUCCAGGUGCAUCCCUACAAGUCCAUCCUGAGCGAGCUCAAGGCCCUGUGUGCUGACCUCUCCCCAAGGGAGAAGGUGUGGGUCAGUGACAAGGCCAGCUAUGCUGUGAGCGAGACCAUCCCCAAGGACCACCGCUGCUGUAUGCCUUACACCCCCAUCUGCAUCGCCAAAGCUGUGAAGAAUUCAGCUGAGUCAGAAGGCAUGAGGCGGGCUCACAUUAAAGAUGCUGUUGCCCUCUGUGAACUCUUUAACUGGCUGGAGAAAGAGGUUCCCAAAGGUGGUGUGACAGAGAUCUCAGCUGCUGACAAAGCUGAGGAGUUUCGCAGGCAACAGGCAGACUUUGUGGACCUGAGCUUCCCAACAAUUUCCAGUACGGGACCCAACGGCGCCAUCAUUCACUACGCGUAAGGCAUGCGGAGGAGCAUGCUGCCUGGCCUUGCUGCUUCUGCACAGGAGCCUGAGCAGGGGAGAGACAUUAUUUUACCAGAGGCCUCUGUGCCCACCUUCAUCUGUCUGUUGAGACUGUAAAAUGAAGGGAAAUAAGACUUCUAAGGUUUUAUUUUCUCCCAAUCCCCAAGCCUCUGCCUUUUGGGAGCCUCUUCUUAGGCUCAGUAUGGCACUGGCAUUCUCUGCAGGGUAGUCAGAUGGGUGUCCCUCUUUCCUUUUUGAAGCUGCAGGAACUGUAUGCAUAGCCCUUGCAUCUUGAUGACUAAGUUUUUUUUUUUGGAGACAAGGUCUUGCUCUGCUGCCCAGGCUGGAGCGCAGUGGUGCCAUCACAACUCACUGCAACUUUGAACUCCUAGACUCAAGCAAUCCUCCUGCCUCAGCCUCCUGAGUAGCUGGGACUAUAGGCAUGUGCUACCACUCCUGGCUAAUUUUUAGAUUUUUUUGUAGAGAUGAGGAUCUUGAUGUGUUGCCCAGGCUUGUCUCGAAUUUCUGGACUCAAGCAAUCCUCCUGCCUCAGCCUCCUAAAGUGCUGGAAUUACAGGUGUGAGCCACUGUGCUUGGCCCAUGACUGGAAUUUUUGAGUAGUUUUCUUUCUUGGUAACAGCAGCUGUUUUGUACUAGUCCAUACAUCUUGUGAGCUCCAUCAGUUCCAUACCAAAAAAAAACUUAGUAGUAGGUUGUGAGGCAACCUGUUUUGGGUGGAGAGAUAAUCAGUACCCUCUCUUCCUGUCCCCCUGAGCCUGAAGCCUGGCAUCCCAGUAUGUGGUAUUUUUACCACGUGGUCUACAAGAACCCAUGGACCCACAGGGCCGAGCCUCCCUUCCUUGUGAGACAGAGGGGCACUGAUAUGUCUAGGACUGACAGAUCUUCCUGUGGAGAUGGGGGGAAAUGUCAUUAGGUGUGGCCAUUGGGCUUCAGCCUCAGCUCUGCCUGGUUCAAACCGCUUUGCUUUGCACUGGGUAUUUUGAGUUCUGUGCAUCCCCAUCUGUUACGUGCACAGCCAACAAAAGAACACUGUGCUUGGGCACACAUUUUUUUCCCCCUUUUAAUAAUUGUUUUUAGAGUUUUUAGUCUUGGGGCAGAUUUUGAAGCUGUGUGUGGGAGACAGUCACAGAUGGGACAGUACAGUUUCCUCACUUAAUGCUUCUGUUCCAGCAUAAAAAUAUCAGAGGGACUUCAGUUUUUGUUUAACUCAGGAUGAAUUUCCUGGCUGGAUACUAUCCUAGAAUUUUCCGUAUAAUUAAAACAUUAAACAGUUUCAUGCCAGUGGAAGAAAUUUGCCUCUGCGUUGGCAUUUCUUCAUUGUGGGUGGUUGGUAGCCUGUUUAGAGGCGGGGUUCUGGAGGCACUGGUUGUCUUUUUUAGUUGUUCAGCUUGUGUGUGGACUGGUGCCCUUAUUGCUGAAGAGGGGGUGGUACCUGGAAAUGGAGGACAACCUCACUUCAGCUGCAGGGCAGAGACUUGGAGUGCUCUCAUCCCUUUGGGUGUUUCCCAGUGCAGUGAUAUUGUUUUGAAAACGGUGUAGGGAAAGAGAUCACUUUUUGAAAAUACCUCAUGUUUGUUUGAAGCAGAAGAAUAUCGUGAUCCAUUCCUUUUCCCAGCAAAAUUCCUUUAGUUUUUCUCCCAAGUUGAGACAUCCACUCCUGCCUGUCUAGCAGUCUGGGGAGCAAGUGGGGAGGUACCUGCUGGGGUCAGGGCUGAAGGAGGGGCCUGGAGGCUGAGGCAGGGGCCUGGGGCUCCCAGAGACAAGCAAGGCUGCAGUGACUCCAGGCUGCUCCUGUCCCAGUUCCCAGGACUCUAGCUAGGUCCUGUUGCAUCUAAUCAUUCUCACUUUUUUAGCUUUUAGAAUUAUCUCUUGAACACCUGUUUUGUUUCAGACACAAACAGAGGUAGACAUAAAGAAAUGUGUUACUUUUCCUUUGUUGAGCUCUUUAUCUCAGCUAGGGAGAUAGGUUGAUUGGAUCUUUGAAAAGUAGAAGUUUAAUAUUAGUUGAAAUAAUUCAUUAUUGCGUAACUUUCUAUUUUGAUAUAAUUUCAGGCUUAUGUAAGUUGCAAGAAUAGUACAAAGAGCUCUUGUGUGUCCUCCUCCCAGAUUCACUAAGUGUUUACAUUUGUGGAAUAAUUAAUUUUUAAUUAACUUUGUUAGGCCAGUCCCUGAGACGAAUAGGACCUUGUCCCUGGAUGAGGUGUACCUUAUUGACUCGGGUGCUCAAUACAAGGAUGGCACCACAGAUGUGACGCGGACAAUGCAUUUUGGGACCCCUACAGCCUACGAGAAGGAAUGCUUCACAUAUGUCCUCAAGGGCCACAUAGCUGUGAGUGCAGCCGUUUUCCCGACUGGAACCAAAGGUCACCUUCUUGACUCCUUCGCCCGUUCAGCUUUAUGGGAUUCAGGCCUAGAUUACUUGCACGGGACUGGACAUGGUGUUGGGUCUUUUUUGAAUGUCCAUGAGGGUCCUUGCGGCAUCAGUUACAAAACAUUCUCUGAUGAGCCCUUGGAGGCAGGCAUGAUUGUCACUGAUGAGCCCGGGUACUAUGAAGAUGGGGCUUUUGGAAUUCGCAUUGAGAAUGUUGUCCUUGUGGUUCCUGUGAAGACCAAGUAUAAUUUUAAUAACCGGGGAAGCCUGACCUUUGAACCUCUAACUUUGGUUCCAAUUCAGACCAAAAUGAUAGAUGUGGAUUCUCUUACAGACAAAGAGUGUGACUGGCUCAACAAUUACCACCUGACCUGCAGGGAUGUGAUUGGGAAGGAACUGCAGAAACAGGGCCGCCAGGAAGCUCUCGAGUGGCUCAUCAGAGAGACGCAACCCAUCUCCAAACAGCAUUAAUACCUCCCCGGUUUUGUUUUUGCAAAAUGCUCUGGAGGAAGGAAGAAACGUGGCAGAUCCCUGACAUCUUUCCCCUUUCCUUUCCUUCUUCCCUACCUCCCCUUUUUACUUUAGACUUUAAGAAGAACAGAAAAUCUUCUUAUCCUCUUUGAUAUUUUAUUGCAAACACUCAGUCUUUUAUGAUUUUUUUAAUUGUUGAGAACAAGCCAAGAAUAAAAUUGCUGCACCAGAAGGAGGGUCCCUCCAAAGUUGAACACUUGGUGAAAGGGAGAUGCCCUGACUUCUUUGGCCAGUGAUGGGGAAUCAGUGAGUGCUCCAUGAUGGUCAUGUUCCAGGUGCUAGUACAUCAUUCAUGAUCACCUUAAUGCUCAUGAGACUAUAUUUAUGAUCAGUGAAUAAAAAUGUCAAAACUGUG
rnacentral:sRNA from 1 species